rnacentral:ncRNA from 1 species
UAUCAUUGAGGACGCAGAAGUCUCAAAGUGUCGGAUUGUUCACCCGCCAAUAGGGAACGUGAGCUGGGUUUAGACCGUCGUGAGACAGGUUAGUUUUACCCUACUGACAAAGUAGAUACUGCGACAGUAGUCGAAGUUAGUACGAGAGGAACACUUCGUCCAGAUACUUGGUUAAUGCCGUUGUCUGAAAAGACAGUACGGCGAAGCUACCAUCUGCUGGAUUACGGCUGAACGCCUCUAAGCCGGAAUCCAUGCUGGAUAAGCAGUGUUGUACACCGUGCUCAAUGCUACAAGAAAAAGGCUAGGUCAGGCUUCGGCCUGACCAAAAUUCAAGCUGCUAUACCUCUGGCUGCAUUGACUUGUGGUCAGAGUGUAUGGUGAUCAUAGCAAUUGCAAGUAUUGGGCUCGAUAAAUCCUUUGAAGACGACUUAAUUGCAUCCGGGUAUUGUAAGUGUUGAGAGUAGGCUUAGUCUUACGAUCCACUGAGAUUCAUCCCGUGUUGCGCCGAUUUGU